rnacentral:rRNA from 1 species
GAUGAACGCUAGCUACAGACUUAACACAUGCAAGUCGAGGGGUAACGAGAGGGAAGCUUUCUUUCCUUGUCGACGACCGGCGCACGGGUGAGUAACGCGUAUCCAACCUGCCCCCAACUAGGGAAUAACCUUGCGAAAGUAAGACUAAUACCCUAUAAUUUCCUCAGAUGUCAUCUGACGAGGAAUAAAGAUUUAUCGGUUGUGGAUGGGGAUGCGUCUGAUUAGCUUGUUGGCGGGGUAACGGCCCACCAAGGCAACGAUCAGUAGGGGUUCUGAGAGGAAGGUCCCCCACAUUGGAACUGAGACACGGUCCAAGCUCCUACGGGAGGCAGCAGUGAGGAAUAUUGGUCAAUGGGCGGAAGCCUGAACCAGCCAAGUAGCGUGCAGGAUGACGGCCCUAUGGGUUGUAAACUGCUUUUAUACAGGAAUAAAGUUAGCCACGUGUGGUUAUUUGUAGGUACUGUAUGAAUAAGGACCGGCUAAUUCCGUGCCAGCCGCCGCAGUAA